rnacentral:rRNA from 1 species
AUUGAACGCUGGCAGCAGGCUUAACACAUGCAAGUCGAGCGGAGAUGAGGUACUUGCACCUUAUCUUAGCGGCGGACGGGUGAGUAAUGCUUAGGAAUCUGCCUAUUAGUGGGGGACAACAUUCCGAAAGGAAUGCUAAUACCGCAUACGCCCUACGGGGGAAAGCAGGGGAUCUUCGGACCUUGCGCUAAUAGAUGAGCCUAAGUCGGAUUAGCUAGUUGGUGGGGUAAAGGCCUACCAAGGCGACGAUCUGUAGCGGGUCUGAGAGGAUGAUCCGCCACACUGGGACUGAGACACGGCCCAGACUCCUACGGGAGGCAGCAGUGGGGAAUAUUGGACAAUGGGCGGAAGCCUGAUCCAGCCAUGCCGCGUGUGUGAAGAAGGCCUUUUGGUUGUAAAGCACUUUAAGCGAGGAGGAGGCUACCUGGAUUAAUACUCUAGGAUAGUGGACGUUACUCGCAGAAUAAGCACCGGCUAACUCUGUGCCAGCCGCCGCUGUAAGAC